rnacentral:tRNA from 1 species
AGGGGUUUAGCUCAGUGGUAGAGCAAUGGCCUUUCAGGCACCACACCCUGGAUUCAGUACCCAGCACCCCUA